CCUACGGGUGGCAGCAGUGGGGAAUAUUGGACAAUGGGCGAAAGCCUGAUCCAGCCAUGCCGCGUGUGUGAAGAAGGCCUUCGGGUUGUAAAGCACUUUCAGUGGGGAAGAAAGCCUUGGGGCUAAUACCCUCGAGGAAGGACAUCACCCACAGAAGAAGCACCGGCUAACUCCGUGCCAGCAGCCGCGGUAAUACGGAGGGUGCGAGCGUUAAUCGGAAUUACUGGGCGUAAAGCGCGCGUAGGCGGUCUGAUAAGCCGGUUGUGAAAGCCCCGGGCUCAACCUGGGAACGGCAUCCGGAACUGUCAGGCUAGAGUGCAGGAGAGGAAGGUAGAAUUCCCGGUGUAGCGGUGAAAUGCGUAGAGAUCGGGAGGAAUACCAGUGGCGAAGGCGGCCUUCUGGACUGACACUGACGCUGAGGUGCGAAAGCGUGGGUAGCAGACAGGAUUAGAUACCCUAGUAGUC
rnacentral:rRNA from 1 species